GACUCUAAGCAGUGGAUCACUUGGCUCAUGCGUCGAUGAAGAAUGCAGCUAGCUGUGAGAACUAAAGUGAAUUGCAGGACAAAUUGAUCAUCCACACUUCAAACACACUUUGCAGCCCUGGGUUACUCCCAGGGCUACCCCUGUUUGAGGAUCA